GACGAACGCUGGCGGCGUGCUUAACACAUGCAAGUUGAGCGGUAAGGCCCUUUCGGGGGUACACGAGCGGCGAACGGGUGAGUAACACGUGGGUGACCUGCCCUCAGCUCUGGGAUAAGCCCGGGAAACUGGGUCUAAUACCGGAUAUGACUUCAUGACGCAUGUUGUGGAGUGGAAAGCCUUGUGCGGCUGAGGAUGGGCCCGCGGCCUAUCAGCUUGUUGGUGGGGUGANGGCCUACCAAGGCGACGACGGGUAGCCGGCCUGAGAGGGCGACCGGCCACACUGGGACUGAGAUACGGCCCAGACUCCUACGGGAGGCAGCAGUGGGGAAUCUUGCGCAAUGGGCGAAAGCCUGACGCAGCGACGCCGCGUGAGGGAUGACGG
rnacentral:rRNA from 1 species